rnacentral:rRNA from 1 species
AUCAAGGACGAAAGUUGGGGGAUCGAAGACGAUUAGAUACCGUCGUAGUCUCAACUAUAAACUAUGCCGACUGAGGAUCGGAGGUCGUACCAUAACAACUCCUUCGGCACUCCAAGAGAAAUCUAAGUCUCUGGGCCCUGGGGGGAGU